rnacentral:rRNA from 1 species
UAAGUUCCUUGGAACAGGACGUCAUAGAGGGUGAGAAUCCCGUAUGGGAUGGGGUGUCCGCGCCCGUGUGAAGCUCCUUCGACGAGUCGAGUUGUUUGGGAAUGCAGCUCUAAAUGGGUGGUAAAUUUCAUCUAAAGCUAAAUAUUGGCCGGAGACCGAUAGCGCACAAGUAGAGUGAUCGAAAGAUGAAAAGCACUUUGAAAAGAGAGUUAAAAAGCACGUGAAAUUGUUGAAAGGGAAGCGCUUGCGACCAGACUC